rnacentral:rRNA from 1 species
AUGGCGACGACGGAUGCCGGAGGCGGCGACUUCGAGUUCUUGUCAGAUUCCGUCGACAGGUUUCCCUUGCUGGAUCUUGGUGGCGGCAAGGCUAUACUGGGCAUUGUAGCCACCAAAACUCUCGCCUGCACAGCCGCCCAGUCGAGCAUUGCUGAUGUAGGCGACGCUGUGAUGACGGUGCAGCUAGAUUUGAACAGAAACUGCGAAGGCCUCAGCUUGUCGGCGUCAACCUCAAAGCAGUCAGAAGGCAAAAACGAUCCUCAAGCCCCUUGCUGGAGAAAGAGGUAUCAACUGAUGUAUUACUAA